UCCCCGGGNUCAACCCGGGAACUGCGUUCCGAACUGGGUGGCUAGAGUGUGUCAGAGGGGGGUAGAAUUCCACGUGUAGCAGUGAAAUGCGUAGAGAUGUGGAGGAAUACCGAUGGCGAAGGCAGCCCCCUGGGAUAACACUGACGUUCAUGCCCGAAAGCGUGGGUAGCAAACAGGAUUAGAUACCCUGGUAGUCCACGCCCUAAACGAUGUCGAUUAGCUGUUGGGGCACUUGAUGCCUUAGUAGCGUAGCUAACGCGUGAAAUCGACCGCCUGGGGAGUACGGUCGCAAGAUUAAAACUCAAAGGAAUUGACGGGGACCCGCACAAGCGGUGGAUGAUGUGGAUUAAUUCGAUGCAACGCGAAGAACCUUACCUGGUCUUGACAUGUACGGAACCUUCCAGAGACGGAAGGGUGCCUUCGGGAGCCGUAACACAGGUGCUGCAUGGCUGUCGUCAGCUCGUGUCGUGAGAUGUUGGGUUAAGUCCCGCAACGAGCGCAACCCUUGUCAUUAGUUGCCAUCAUUCAGUUGGGCACUCUAAUGAGACUGCCGGUGACAAACCGGAGGAAGGUGGGGACGACGUCAAGUCCUCAUGGCCCUUAUGACCAGGGCUUCACACGUCAUACAAUGGUCGGUACAGAGGGUAGCCAAGCCGCGAGGCGGAGCCAAUCCCAGAAAACCGAUCGUAGUCCGGAUUGCACU
rnacentral:rRNA from 1 species